rnacentral:rRNA from 1 species
UCCGGAGGGAGCUAGCGUUGUUCGGAAUUACUGGGCGUAAAGCGCGCGUAGGCGGCUUUGUAAGUUAGAGGUGAAAGCCCGGAGCUCAACUCCGGAACUGCCUUUAAGACUGCAUCGCUUGAAUCCAGGAGAGGUGAGUGGAAUUCCGAGUGUAGAGGUGAAAUUCGUAGAUAUUCGGAAGAACACCAGUGGCGAAGGCGACUCACUGGACAUGUAUUGACGCUGAGGUGCGAAAGCGUGGGGAGCAAACAGG